UGAGGAAUAUUGGGCAAUGCCCGCAAGGGUGACCCAGCAACGCCGCGUGGAGGAUGAAUGUCGUAAGAUUGUAAACUCCUGUUAGAGGGGAAGAAUAGUACCGGUUGGACCGGUAUAUGACUGUACCCUCAGAGAAAGCCCCGGCUAACUACGUGCCAGCAGCCGCGGUAAUACGUAGGGGGCAAGCGUUGUCCGGAUUUACUGGGUGUAAAGGGCGCGCAGGCGGGAUAAAAAGUCAGUGGUGAAAUCCUACAGCUUAACUGUAGAACUGCCUUUGAUACUUUUAUCCUUGAGUUCGGGAGAGAGAGACGGAAUUCCAGGUGUAGUGGUGAAAUACGUAGAUAUCUGGAAGAACACCAGUUGCGAAGGCGGUCUCUUGGUCCGACACUGACGCUGAUGCGCGAAAGCGUGGGGAGCAAACA
rnacentral:rRNA from 1 species